GGGGGAAACCCUGAUGCAGCGACGCCGCGUGAGUGAAGAAGUAUUUCGGUAUGUAAAGCUCUAUCAGCAGGGACGAUAAUGACGGUACCUGACUAAGAAGCCCCGGCUAACUACGUGCCAGCAGCCGCGGUAAUACGUAGGGGGCAAGCGUUAUCCGGAUUUACUGGGUGUAAAGGGAGCGUAGACGGUCUGGUAAGUCAGGUGUGAAAGCCCGGGGCUCAACCCCGGGAUUGCACUUGAAACUACCCGACUAGAGUGCAGGAGAGGUAAGUGGAAUUCCUAGUGUAGCGGUGAAAUGCGUAGAUAUUAGGAGGAACACCAGUGGCGAAGGCGACUUUCUGGACUGUAACUGACACUGAGGCACGAAAGCGUGGGGAGCAAACAGGAUUAGAUACCCUGGUAGUCCACGCCGUAAACGAUGAGCACUAGGUGUCGGGGCCGCAAGGUUUCGGUGCCGCAGUUAACGCAUUAAGUGCUCCGCCUGGGGAGUA
rnacentral:rRNA from 1 species